GUUAUUUCAUUGGUGGUUUACGUCAUGACAUUCGUUCUCGUGUGCGUACCUUCAGGCCUCGUAAUCGUUACUUAGCGAUGCAAGUGGCUCGUGAUGUUGAGAGUGAAUUUGCUGUUGUUUCGGGGCAGGGAUCUGAAUCUGGAUCUCGCUACAAACCGGGUCAAGGUUCUUGGGCCCGAUUUCAAAAACCUAAUUGGGCCAAUCGCGAAGGGGAAGGGAACAGAUUUGCAAACCCUAACCAGACUAGUAACAAUGUGGGUAAAAUGCGUACCGGGCUGGG
rnacentral:lncRNA from 1 species